rnacentral:rRNA from 1 species
GAUUAGAGUUUGAUCCUGGCUCAGAAUCAACGCUGGCGGCGUGCCUAACACAUGCAAGUCGAACGCGAAAGUCCCGCAAGGGGCAAGUAGAGUGGCAAACGGGUGAGUAACACGUGGGUGACCUGCCUUCGAGUGGGGGAUAACGUCCCGAAAGGGACGCUAAUACCGCAUGACAUCCUGCCUUUGGAAAGGUGGAGAUCAAAGCCGGGGAUCGCAAGACCUGGCGCUUGAAGAGGGGCCCGCGCCUGAUUAGCUAGUUGGUGGGGUAACGGCCUACCAAGGCGACGAUCAGUAUCCGGCCUGAGAGGGCGGACGGACACACUGGGACUGAGACACGGCCCAGACUCCUACGGGAGGCAGCAGUGGGGAAUUGUUCGCAAUGGGCGCAAGCCUGACGACGCAACGCCGCGUGGAGGACGAAGAUCUUCGGGUCGUAAACUCCUGUCGAGCGGGAAGAAUGCUUCGCGGGUGAAUACUCCGCGAAAUUGACGGUACCGCUAAAGGAAGCCCCGGCUAACUCCGUGCCAGCAGCCGCGGUAAUACGGGGGGGGCAAGCGUUGUUCGGAAUUACUGGGCGUAAAGGGCUCGUAGGCGGCCAACUAAGUCAGACGUGAAAUCCCCAGGCUUAACCUGGGAACUGCGUCUGAUACUGGAUGGCUUGAAUUAGGGAGAGGGAUGCAGAAUUCCAGGUGUAGCGGUGAAAUGCGUAGAUAUCUGGAGGAAUACCGGUGGCGAAGGCGGCAUCCUGGACCGACAUUGACGCUGAUGAGCGAAAGCUAGGGGAGCAAACGGGAUUAGAUACC